rnacentral:rRNA from 1 species
AUUGAACGCUGGCGGCAUGCCUUACACAUGCAAGUCGAACGGCGCGGCGGACGGGUGAGUAAUGCCUAGGAACCUGCCCGGUAGUGGGGUAUAACUCCCGGAAAGGGGCGCUAAUACCGCAUACUAUCAGAUCAGCCUAGGUCGGAUUAGCUAGUUGGUGGGGUAACGGCCUACCAAGGCGACGAUCCGUAACUGGUCUGAGAGGAUGAUCAGUCACACUGGGACUGAGACACGGUCCAGACUCCUACGGGAGGCAGCAGUGGGGAAUAUUGGACAAUGGGCGAAAGCCUGAUCCAGCCACGCCGCGUGUGUGAAGAAGGUCUUCGGAUUGUAAAGCACUGUUGGUAGGGAAGCGGUACCAAAAGAAUAAGCACCGGCUAACUACGUGCCAGCAGCCGCGGUAAUAC